AAAAGCAUGGGUAGCAAACAGGAUUUAGAUACCCCUGGUAAGUCCAUGCCGUAAAACGAUGAUUACUAGGUGUGGGGGGUCUGACCCUUCCGUGCCGGAGUUAACACAAUAAGUAAUCCACCUGGGGAGUACGACCGCAAGGUUGAAACUCAAAGGAAUUGACGGGGGCCCGCACAAGCAGUGGAGUAUGUGGUUUAAUUCGAAGCAACGCGAAGAACCUUACCAGGUCUUGACAUCCACCGAAUCCUGUAGAGAUACGGGAGUGCCCUUCGGGGAACGGUGAGACAGGUGGUGCAUGGUUGUCGUCAGCUCGUGUCGUGAGAUGUUGGGUUAAGUCCCGCAACGAGCGCAACCCUUGUGAAUAGUUGCUACGAAAGAGCACUCUAUUCAGACCGCCGUUGACAAAACGGAGGAAGGUGGGGAUGACGUCAAAUCAUCAUGCCCCUUAUGACCUGGGCUACACACGUACUACAAUGGCUGGUACAGAGAGAUGCUAAACCGCGAGGUGGAGCCAAACUUUAAAACCAGUCAGUUCGGAUUGUAGGCUGAAACUCGCCUACAUGGAGCUGGAGUUGCUAGUAAUCGCGAAUCAG
rnacentral:rRNA from 1 species